rnacentral:rRNA from 1 species
UGCGUAGGGGGCUAGCGUUGUCCGGAUUUAUUGGGCGUAAAGAGCGCGCAGGCGGUCGUUCAAGUCGAGUGUGAAAGCCCCCGGCUCAACUGGGGAGGGUCACGCGAUACUGUUCGACUCGAAGGCAGGAGAGGGUAGUGGAAUUCCCGGUGUAGUGGUGAAAUGCGUAGAUAUCGGGAGGAACACCAGUGGCGAAGGCGGCUUCCUGGCCUGUUCUUGACGCUGAGGCGCGAAAGCUAGGGGAGCAAACGGG